UCUUAGCAGAAAGCAAUACUUCUUUGUGUACUUUGAACAUGGGGUCGAUUCCAUCUCACUUCUGUCAGUUCUCCGUCUGGCUAAAUCAUUCCUAGGGGGAAGGGGGCUAACAGGAUUUUUUCAAUAACACUAAGAAAAUCAGUCAGUUUACC